rnacentral:rRNA from 1 species
CGUCAAAUCAUCAUGCCCUUUAUGAUCUGGGCUACACACGUGCUACAAUGGCCGGUACAGACGGAAGCGAAGCCGUGAGGUGGAGCGAAUCCGAGAAAGCCGGUCCCAGUUCGGAUUGCAGGCUGCAACUCGCCUGCAUGAAGUCGGAAUCGCUAGUAAUCGCAGGUCAGCAUACUGCGGUGAAUACGUUCCCGGGCCUU